AGGACGAACGCUGGCGGCGUGCUUAACACAUGCAAGUCGAGCGGAAAGGCCCUUCGGGGUACUCGAGCGGCGAACGGGUGAGUAACACGUGAGUAAUCUGCCCCUAGCUCUGGGAUAGCUCCGGGGAAACCGGGAUUAAUACCAGAUACGACCACUUUAGACAUCUGCUGUGGUGGAAGAAUUUCGGCUAGGGAUGAGCUCGCGGCCUAUCAGCUUGUUGGUGAGGUAACGGCUCACCAAGGCGACGACGGGUA
rnacentral:rRNA from 1 species